GACGGAGGAUGCAAGUGUUAUCCGGAAUCACUGGGCGUAAAGCGUCUGUAGGUGGUCAAAUAAGUCAACUGUUAAAUCUUGAGGCUCAACCUCAAAAUCGCAGUCGAAACUAUUCGACUAGAGUAUAGUAGGGGUAAAGGGAAUUUCCAGUGGAGCGGUGAAAUGCGUAGAUAUCAUUUGGAACGCCAACGGAGAAAUCAGGCAGCUGGGGGUGUGCUGACGCUGAGACACGGAAGCCAGGGGAGCGAACGGG
rnacentral:rRNA from 1 species